GUGCAACCGGGGAGUUAGCGGUGCCCUGUACCUGCAAUCCGCUACAGCAGGGGCUAUGCCUUCUCCCAGGGUUAUUGGCUGUGGGGCUGCCCUUUAUAAGUGGCGUUGAAGUCCGGGUCUUGUGCAACAGGAACUCGUGAACCGUGUCAGGUCAGGAAUGAAGCAGCACUAAGCGAGACCUCUUGUGUGCCACAAGGGUGCCUGGGCCGAGUUAACUGUAGAGGUAACGCCUGUGGUCUUAAUUCGAAGAGAAGGUGCACGG
rnacentral:SRP_RNA from 1 species